rnacentral:rRNA from 1 species
GAUGAACGCUGGCGGCGUGCCUAAUACAUGCAAGUCGAGCGAACAGACGAGAGUGCUUGCACUCUCUGACGUUAGCGGCGGACGGGUGAGUAACACGUGGGUAACCUACCUAUAAGACUGGGAUAACUUCGGGAAACCGGAGCUAAUACCGGAUAAUAUUUAGCUUCGCAUGAAGCAAUAGUGAAAGACGUUUCUGCUGUCACUUAUAGAUGGACCCGCGGUGUAUUAGCUAGUUGGUGAGGUAACGGCUCACCAAGGCAACGAUACAUAGCCGACCUGAGAGGGUGAUCGGCCACACUGGGACUGAGACACGGCCCAGACUCCUACGGGAGGCAGCAGUAGGGAAUCUUCCGCAAUGGACGAAAGUCUGACGGAGCAAUGCCGCGUGAGUGAAGAAGGUUUUCGGAUCGUAAAACUCUGUUGUAAGGGAAGAACAAGUACGUUAGUAACUGAACGUACCUUGACGGUACCUUACCAGAAAGCCACGGCUAACUACGUG